rnacentral:rRNA from 1 species
UCUGACUAAUAUAUACCCUGAACACACCUGAUCUUAUCUGAUGUUGGAAGCUAAGCACGGUUGGGCCCAGUUAGUAUUUGUAUGAGAGAUUAAUAAUAAUAACAAUAUAUUCAAAU